rnacentral:rRNA from 1 species
AUUGAACGCUGGCGGCAGGCCUAACACAUGCAAGUCGAACGGUAGCACAGAGAGCUUGCUCUCGGGUGACGAGUGGCGGACGGGUGAGUAACGUCUGGGAAACUGUCCGAUGGAGGGGGAUAACUACUGGAAACGGUAGCUAAUACCGCAUAACGUCGCAAGACCACAGUGGGGGACCUUCGGGCCUCACACCAUCGGAUGUGCCCAGAUGGGAUUAGCUAGUAGGUGGGGUAAUGGCUCACCUAGGCGACGAUCCCUAGCAGGUCUGAGAGGAUGACCGGCCACACUGGAACUGGGACACGGUCCAGACUCCUACGGGAGGCAGCAGUGGGGAAUAUUGCACAAUGGGCGCAAGCCUGAUGCAGCCAUGCCGCGUGUAUGAAGAAGGCCUUCGGGUUGUAAAGUACUUUCAGCGGGGAGGAAGGCGGUGAAGUUAAUAACUUCACCGAUUGACGUUACCCGCAGAAGAAGCACCGGCUAACUCCGUGCCAGCAGCCGCGGUAA